rnacentral:rRNA from 1 species
AGUUUGAUUCUGGCUCAGAUUGAACGCUGGCGGGAUGCUUUACACAUGCAAGUCGAACGGCAACCUGGACUUCAGUCUGGUGGUGAUGGCGAACAGGUGAGUAAUGUAUCAGGUGUGCUAAUAGCGGGGGAUAACUACGCGAAAGCGUAGCUAAUACCGCAUACGCCCUUCGGGGAAAGCGGGGGACCUUCGGGCCUCGCACUGGUGGAAGCGGCCGAUAUCGGAUUGCUUCGUUGGUGAAAUUAACGGCUCACCAGGGGCGACGAUCAUAGCUGGUUUGAGGACGACCAGCCACACUGGGACUGAGACAUGGCCCAGACUCCUGCGGAGGCAGCAGUGGGGAAUUUUGGACAAUGGGGAAACCCUGAUCCAGCCAUAUCCCGCGUGUGCGAUGAAGGCCUUCAGGUUAAUAAAGCUACUUUUAGCAGGAAAAACUGUGGCGCAGGAUAAUACCCGUGCAACUGACGGUACCUGCAGAAUAAGCACCGGCUAACUACGUGCCAGCGGCCGCGGUAAUGCGUAGGGUGCAAGCGUUAAUCGGAAUUACUGGGCGUAAAGCGUGCGCAGGCGGUUCGGAAAGAAAGAUAUUAAAUCCCAGAGCUUAACUUUGCGGAACUGCAUUUUUAACUACCGAGCUAGAGUGUGUCAGAGGGAGGUGGAAUUCCGCGUGUAGCAGUGAAUGCGUAGAUAUGCGGAGGAACACCGAUGGCGAAGGCAGCCUCACCUGGGAUAACACUGGCAUCAUACCGGCAAUGAGGGGAGCAAACAAGUUAGAUACCCUGGUAGUCCACGCCUAAACGAUGUCAACUAGCUGUUGAACCGGGCCUUGGUAGCGCAACUAACGCGUAGAAGUUGACCGCCUGGGAAGUACGGUCGCAAGAUUAAGCCUCAAAAUUGACGGGGACCACCGAAGCGGUGGAUGAUGUGGAUUAAUUCGAUGCAACGCAGAAAACCUACCGCUUGACAUGUCUGGAAUCCCGAAGAGAUUUGGGAGUGCUCGCAAAGAGAACGGAACACAGGUGCUGCAUGGCUGUCGUCAGCUCGUGUCGUGGAUGUUGGGUUAAGUCCGCAACGAGCGCAACCCUUGUCAUUAGUUGCUACGAAAGGGCACUCUGACCAAGACUGCCGGUGACAAACCGGAGGAAGGUGGGGAUGACGUCAAGUCCUCAUGGCCCUUAUAGGUAGGAGCUUCCCACGUCAUACAAUGGUCGGGACAGAGGGGUCGCCAACCCGCGAGGGAAGACCAAUCCCAGAAACCCGAUCGUAGUCCGGAUCGCAGUCUGCAACUCGACUGCGUGAAGUCCGGAAUCGCUAGUAAUCGCGGAUCAGCAUGUCGCGGUGAAUACGUUCCCGGGUCUUGUACACACCGCCCGUCACACCAUGGGAGUGGGUUUACCAGAAGUAGUUAGCCUAACCGUAAGGAGGGCGAUUACCACGGUAAGUUCGUGACUGGGGUGAAGUCGUAACAAGGUAA